rnacentral:rRNA from 1 species
UACGGAGGUGGCAAGCGUUGUUCGGAAUUACUGGGCGUAAAGGGCGCGUAGGCGGCUAGGCAAGUCAGGUGUGAAAGCCCCGAGCUUAACUCGGGAAUUGCAUCUGAAACUGCUGUGCUUGAGUUCUGGAGGGGGUAGUGGAAUUCCCAGUGUAGCGGUGAAAUGCGUAGAUAUCUGGAGGAAUACCGGUGGCGAAGGCGGCAUCCUGGACCGGCAUUGACGCUGAGGAGCGAAAGCCAGGGGAGCAAACGGG